rnacentral:lncRNA from 1 species
CGACAGACGACUUGACCGUCGGCAUAACAGAACUAAUAGCCGACGGUCGCUCAUAGAUUCUACCGACAUAUGGUCGGCUAGUCAACUCAGAUAUACCGUAACCGUCACGAACGAUUAUCGGCUGUAUAUCAUGGUGUGAUCAGUGAAAAUUAACGAUUUACUAUACGAUUAUGGUCCGAUGAUUUAGCAUCACAAAAUACGAGAUCACGU